rnacentral:rRNA from 1 species
UACAGAGGGUGCGAGCGUUGUUCGGAAUUAUUGGGCGUAAAGGGCGCGUAGGCGGUUCGACAAGUCGGAUGUGAAAUCUCCACGCUCAACGUGGAGGGGCCAUUCGAAACUGUCGUGACUUGAGUCCGGUAGGGGAGUGUGGAAUUCCCGGUGUAGCGGUGAAAUGCGCAGAGAUCGGGAGGAACACCCGUAGCGAAGGCGGCACUCUGGGCCGUGACUGACGCUGAGGAGCGAAAGCGUGGGGAGCAAACAGG